rnacentral:rRNA from 1 species
CAAGUCGUACGAGAAAUCUCCUGCUUGCAGGAGAGAGUAAAGUGGCGAACGGGUGAGUAACGCGUGGGUAAUCUGCCCCUGAAUCUGGGAUAACAUUGCGAAAGCGAUGCUAAUACCGGAUGGUAUCCUGCAACCAAGGUUGUCAGGAUUAAAGGGGGCCUCUACAAGUAAGCUCCUGUUUGGGGAUGAGCCCGCGUGCCAUUAGCUUGUUGGUGGGGUAAUGGCCUACCAAGGCGACGAUGGUUAGCUGGUCUGAGAGGAUGAUCAGCCACACUGGAACUGAGACACGGUCCAGACUCCUACGGGAGGCAGCAGUGAGGAAUCUUGCGCAAUGGGGAAACCCCUGACGCAGCAACGCCGUGUGAGUGAUGAAGGCUCUCGGGUCGUAAAGCUCUGUCAAGUGGGAAGAACCUGCAUGAUGUUAAUACCAUCAGGCACUGACGGUACCACUGGAGGAAGCACCGGCUAACUCCGUG